CUGAGAUUCUGCCUUCACAACUGUUGAGGGACCUGCCCCCCAUAAAGGAGGAGGAAUAACUUACCCCAUCCAGAAACAGUGGAGUCCUGCUGCCUUGGCUGCCUACAAGGGGAAGCAGAAGACCACAGGACCUCACAGCCAGACUGGCUGCAACCAUGGGACUUCCAUCCCCUCACAAGCCAGUCUCAGUUAAUGGCCUGAGAACAAGAAAUCAACUGCCAGAAAGCAGAGGUUGUGCCCCCAAAUCAUGUACCCUGACUCUGGAGUUCCCGCCUGGUGAUGAGUAACAGAGUGCUGACAGGCAUGUCCAGGGCAUAGCUGCUCUCCCGCAUCCCGCCCUCCCCAAACAUCUCUGAUGGACGGUUGGCUGCAACCCAGGAAGCACUUUCGCGCCGUGGCCUGCAUCUCAGCCCCGCCCCGCCGAGCGGGAAGGAGGGCUGUGAAGAAUGCCCCAGCUCCCUUGCUAGCCUAAAAACAA